GGGGGUGAAACUCGUAGUACUAAAUUGGAAACAAAUAUUCUAUGCGCCUACCUAACAGAGAAUGAAAGAGAUAGAAGAUGUAUGGUUAUCUCUGUCGCUCAUGACAAGAAGGAUAAUGUUCCAAAAUCCAAAUUGACAUUCGACAGUUGCAGUUAUAACCAAACAUUUUCGGAUAGUAGUAUUGAAAAAUAUUCAACAUUCGUUGAAAAAAAAAAUUUUAUCCGUUAAGACUGAUAUUAGAUAUUAUGUUAAUUUAUUUUUUGUUUGAAAAACCAACAUUUUUAUUAUUUAUCUUUGUCUGCACAACUUUUGGUCUAGUCUAAGGAUUGAAAUGAGUGCCUCAAAUCUUCGAUGGACGACUCCAUUUGUUAUGUACAUCCUAAAAUGGCUGUUUGAUUACUAUAUCAUCAAUUUUCAACAGAAUUAUAAAUGAUUGAAUGAAUUUGACCGGUAAAGGUCAAUAAUUAAUCAUGGAAAACCCAUUUAUUAGUUGCCGACGUGAAGCCAACAUACUUUAAAAUCCCAUAUAUCGCAGACCUCUCACAAAAAGCUCGUCAUUUUUCAAAAUACGAAGGGGUUGCAAUUGCUCUGAAACCAGAGAACAUCAAAAUAGAUAAUUUUUUUACACUUUCAUAGACUUAAGUUUAUAUUUAAUAUUGUAUUCCUUCUUUCAGAGCCCUAAAGGUAUAACGAAACUGGUCGGCAACUAAUAAAUGUGAUUUCCAUGAUUAAUUUUUGACCUUUACCUGCUAAUUUCAUUCAAUCGUACAGUCAUUAUCAACCAACAAUAUUAUAAAUUAUGUACUGUAUUUCUGUUUGUUCCAUGUAGUGUGUCCAUUGAAAUAUUAGAUAGAAGUCAAAUAAUAUAGAGUGAAAUCAA